UACGUAGGGGCCAAGCGUUGUCCGGAUUUAUUGGGCGUAAAGAGCUCGUAGGCGGUUCGGCAAGUCAGCUGUGAAAUCUCCACGCUCAACGUGGAGGGGUCAGCUGAUACUGCUGUGACUCGAGUCCGGUAGGGGAGUGUGGAAUUCCCGGUGUAGCGGUGAAAUGCGCAGAUAUCGGGAGGAACACCAGUAGCGAAGGCGGCACUCUGGGCCGGUACUGACGCUGAGGAGCGAAAGCGUGGGGAGCGAACAGG
rnacentral:rRNA from 1 species